rnacentral:rRNA from 1 species
GGGGGAAUAUUGGACAAUGGGGGAAACCCUGAUCCAGCAAUGCCGCGUGAAUGACGAAGGCCUGAGGGUUGUAAAGUUCUUUCACCUGUGAAGAUAAUGACGGUAGCAGGAGAAGAAGCCCCGGCUAACUCCGUGCCAGCAGCCGCGGUAAGACGGAGGGGGCUAGCGUUGUUCGGAAUGACUGGGCGUAAAGGGCGCGUAGGCGGUUUUUUAAGUGAGGCGUGAAAGCCCUGGGCUUAACCCAGGAGGU